rnacentral:rRNA from 1 species
AACGAACGCUGGCGGCAUGCCUAACACAUGCAAGUCGAACGAAGGCUUCGGCCUUAGUGGCGCACGGGUGCGUAACGCGUGGGAAUCUGCCCCUCGGUUCGGAAUAACAGUUAGAAAUGACUGCUAAUACCGGAUGAUGACUUCGGUCCAAAGAUUUAUCGCAGAGGGAUGAGCCCGCGUAGGAUUAGGUAGUUGGUGGGGUAAAGGCCUACCAAGCCGACGAUCCUUAGCUGGUCUGAGAGGAUGAUCAGCCACACUGGGACUGAGACACGGCCCAGACUCCUACGGGAGGCAGCAGUGGGGAAUAUUGGACAAUGGGCGCAAGCCUGAUCCAGCAAUGCCGCGUGAGUGAUGAAGGCCUUAGGGUUGUAAAGCUCUUUUACCCGGGAUGAUAAUGACAGUACCGGGAGAAUAAGCUCCGGCUAACUCCGUGCCAGCCGCCGCUGUAAAAC